rnacentral:rRNA from 1 species
GUGCCAGAGCCGCGGUAACACCGGCGGCCCGAGUGGUAACCGCUUUUAUUGGGUCUAAAGGGUCUGUAGCCGGCCAAGUAAGUCCCUUGGGAAAUCUGGCAGCUUAACUGUCAGGCUGCUAGGGGAUACUGCUAGGCUUGGGACCGGGAGAGGUGAGAGGUACCUUGGGGGUAGGGGUGAAAUCUUGUGAUCCUCGGGGGACCACCAGUGGCGAAGGCGUCUCACCAGAACGGGUCCGACGGUAAGGGACGAAAGCUAGGGGCACGAACCGG